UACGUAGGGCGCAAGCGUUAUCCGGAAUUAUUGGGCGUAAAGAGCUCGUAGGCGGCCUGUCGCGUCGGCUGUGAAAACCCGGGGCUCAACCCCGGGCCUGCAGUCGAUACGGGCAGGCUAGAGUCCGGUAGGGGAGACUGGAAUUCCUGGUGUAGCGGUGAAAUGCGCAGAUAUCAGGAGGAACACCGGUGGCGAAGGCGGGUCUCUGGGCCGGAACUGACGCUAAGGAGCGAAAGCGUGGGGAGCGAACAGG
rnacentral:rRNA from 1 species